UAUAACAAAGUUCGUCAAUCUUUAUAUACAUGUAGUGAUUAGUUAGGAUUAGAUAUUUUUGGUAAAAUAUUCUACCUUAACUGGACAUAACAUUCAUUUCUUUCGUAUUAUUAAUUAAAUGUUCUUUUUAUAGGGGACCCAUAUGACAAGAUGAUACAAAAGGGUCAGAUUCACCUUCUGUUAGCAGUCAAGUCCUCAUUGAUUACUUAUUUGGAGGCCCGACGUACGACGAGGUUAGUGCUGCCACAGAUUAUUCAUUGUAGUUAGCGCUUAUAGCUUGUUAUAUACAUAUCUAAUUAUAUAUAUUUUAUUCUAAUUCUCAUUGUUUUGCUGAUUGUUUUAUUUAGGUGAUUAAUGUAUAUUUUCAUAUAAUUGAUAAGCUCGAUUCCAUGGGUGUACAUAAAUUUAGUCAACCGGGUAUUUUCUUGCGAACUGAAGUUGCGGUGAGUUUGAUGCCUUCACUAUUAUAUUAGUUGUUAUCUAUUUUGUUUUCUAUUUCUAUGCUAUCUUGUUUUCUGAAGAUCACUAUUAGCCUUCACUAAAGAUGCUAUCAUGUUUUUUGUUUCUAUGCAGAUGCACGUACUCAAUAAGAUGCAGGGAUAUGGAAAGAAUAAUCCAGUAACAGCUGAUUUUGUGAAGGAUGUGACAUUUGGAUCCGCAUCUAUACGUCACUUUCUGGAUAAAAUAAAUACACAAACCUGCAACACUUGUAGAUAUAUACUUAUUCUGUUACAUAGUAAUUAGCAUUGGCAUUUGCUAUCUAUUGAUUUGAAGGAACGACGUUUUGAGAGUUGGAACUCUUUGUGGAGCCACAGCAGGGCACAGGACGCGGCACAGCUGCUGGUAUUAUUUUAUUCGUCUCAGUAGACAGAGUGUUUUAGUUAUAUAUUCACGCGACAGUAACAUCUACUAUCUACUCGUUUGAAUUAAUUAACUCUUUUUUUUUGUCUUGGAAAGGCGAAAUGGUUUGCGUCCUAUUUUGAGCACAUCCUCCAAAUCCCUAUCGGCGCUCCUGACAUCAUAUUUCAUAAGGAAUGUCAACAACAGGGUUCGAUCGAAGUUGAUUGUGGCAUGUACACAUGCCUUUUUGCCGAAAGAAUCGUAAGAAACGGUCUCCCCGAUCUAUCAUUAUACGAUAAUGACCCCCCUCCUUCCGUGCUCAUAUGGUCAGUGUGAUCUUACAGGAUCCAUGUUGUCUGACCUAUACUUCUAUGAUUGAGUGCACAGUCGCAAAAGAUGAUGUCUGAAUGUUAUAGGAUUUUGCAAUUGUUACUGGUACUGUACAGUGUGUUUAUAUAUUAUUUUGCAAUUGUGAAUGGUAUUGGGCAAUUUGUAUAUAUAUGAUUGUGAAUGUACAAUUGUGCACAUUGUGAGUGGUCGUUCACAGAUAUUUCAUAUAUGAUUGUGAAUGUGCAAUUGUGAAUUUGUGACUGGUAAUUUUGUAUUCUGCUUAAUCAUAUUCUUGAUGUAUUUUGUGUAAUGUGAUUUGUUGAUAAGAGUCUAGUCAAUUUAUCCUAUUGAUGUAAUGUGUCAAUUUACCGUGAUGUCAUUUUCUCCGAUUUUAUCAUAGAUGAGAUGUUAUCCAGAUUUUAUUAUGUUUGCAAAAUAAUUUUAUGAGAGUUAUCGUAUCGGAGAUAGACAUUCAGAAAGUGCAAUGGCACCUGUUGAGAUUGAUGAUGUCCCUGCGCCGGUUG
rnacentral:lncRNA from 1 species